rnacentral:rRNA from 1 species
GGUUGUCGUCAGCUCGUGUCGUGAGAUGUUGGGUUAAGUCCCGCAACGAGCGCAACCCUUAUCCUUAGUAGCCAGCGAGUGAAGUCGGGCACUCUAGGGAGACUGCCGGGGAUAACCCGGAGGAAGGUGGGGAUGACGUCAAAUCAUCAUGCCCCUUAUGAUUUGGGCUACACACGUGCUACAAUAGCGUAAACAAAGGGAAGCGAGCCGGUGACGGUGGGCAAAUCCCAAAAAUAACGUCUCAGUUCGGAUUGUAGUCUGCAACUCGACUACAUGAAGCUGGAAUCGCUAGUAAUCGCGGAUCAGAAUGCCGCGGUGAAUACGUUCCCGGGUCUUGUACACACCGCCCGUCACACCAUGGGAGUCGGAAAUGCCCGAAGUCUGUGACCUAACCGAAAGGGAGGAGCAGCCGAAGGCAGGUCUGAUGACUGGGGUGAAGUCGUAACAAGGUAGCCGUAUCGGAAGGUGCGGCUGGAUCACCUC